CCUACGGGUGGCAGCAGUGAGGAAUAUUGGUCAAUGGACGAGAGUCUGAACCAGCCAAGUAGCGUGAAGGAUGACUGCCCUAUGGGUUGUAAACUUCUUUUAUAAAGGAAUAAAACGAGGCACGUGUGCCUUUUUGCAUGUACUUUAUGAAUAAGGAUCGGCUAACUCCGUGCCAGCAGCCGCGGUAAUACGGAGGAUCCGAGCGUUAUCCGGAUUUAUUGGGUUUAAAGGGAGCGUAGAUGGGGUGUUAAGUCAGUUGUGAAAGUUUGCGGCUCAACCGUAAAAUUGCAAUUGAUACUGGCAGUCGUGAGUACAGUGGAGGUAGGCGGAAUUCGUGGUGUAGCGGUGAAAUGCUUAGAUAUCACGAAGAACCCCGAUUGCGAAGGCAGCUUACUAAACUGUGACUGACAUUGAUGCUCGAAAGUGUGGGUAUCAAACAGGAUUAGAUACCCCAGUAGUC
rnacentral:rRNA from 1 species